GAUGAACGCUAGCGGCAGGCUUAACACAUGCAAGUCGAGGGGUAUAGUAGCAAUACUAGAGACCGGCGCACGGGUGCGUAACGCGUAUGCAACCUACCUUUUACAGAGGGAUAGCCCCAGAGAAAUUUGGAUUAAUACCUCAUAGUGUUAUUAGAUGGCAUCAUUUGAUAACUAAAGUUCCAACGGUAAAGAUGGGCAUGCGUCCUAUUAGCUAGAUGGUAAGGUAACGGCUUACCAUGGCUACGAUAGGUAGGGGUCCU
rnacentral:rRNA from 1 species